rnacentral:lncRNA from 1 species
GAGCUCAUUGAUCAUCAUAACAGAGUCUAUUGAAAGUCCUCAGCAGGCGGUGUGACGAUGUGACCAGCUCUGGCCAAGGAGCUGUAGGCAGAAGUGUCUUGCAGCAGCUCCUGUAAAUCUUAAAAGACAGCUGGUGCGUGUCUUUUUUCCUUUUUUUUUCCCUUCCCCCUUCCUGCUGCGCUGAAUAUGGAUAUGGUGAGUGAAUCUAGAGCAGCCAUUUGGAGGUAUGAAGAGAUCUUGGAAAUAGAGGCCAUGUGUGUUGAAACAAGACCGAACAACUCCAAGUUCCUGAAGACUUCAUUUCACCAACCCAGAACCUCCUUGAUCAUCACAGUGGUCGAACCAUUUUACAUUUUCACCAGCAAUGAAGGAGGGUUCCUGUUGCUCUACCAUUUGGUACUGUCAGCGUUUUGGAUAUUAGCCGUCCUAAUAGCCUUUGCAUGGAUGAUUGUCUGUCCUCUGUUGGGCCCCUUCUGAAGAGUUGGAGUUGGACUCUGAAUACCUCAAGAGUGGGAGAUUGGUCUUGCCAAUCAGAGAAGCUCCAGGGCUAGCCUAGUGCCUGGCACAUGCUUUAUACAAUUAUUCCCAAAUCUUCUAAACUGACAGUGAGGGAGAGUAAUUUGAAAGGACUGCUCAACUCAACGUCAUUUGAAGAUUUGCACCACAGCUGCAUUUUUCCAAUUUCCUGGCAUCUAUUCUGCUCUCCUGGACUUUUCAAAAACAAUUGUAAGUGGAUGAAUAAAUAUAAUAACUGAUUCCAUUGAUACUCUUAGACCAUCCUUUGGACUUUCUGCUUUUGGACAUUUUACAGUUUAAAAUUUAUUUAUCAUCUAUCGAUGUUUCCCAAAGAAGGACUCAAAGUACACAUUGUCAAAGAUCUCAUGGAUCUAAUUAAGGACAGGGAACAGGUACAGAAUCAUACAUUGUCUCUACACAGAGGGGAUAAUUUCUGAAGGAAAGAAGAAAGUAAAUUCCUUAAUCACCCUUAUGAUUAUAACUACACAAUUGAAUUUGUUUACUUCAUCAGCUUUGGGAAUAAAGUAAGGUCCUACACUUUUCAAUUUUUCAAAGAA